GGAAGAGGCGCCCUCAUAGGUUCUCGAGGCCGAAUGCGACCACAAGAGAAACCUCGAGGAGGUGAGGUGAACGACACAGGGGAGGACGCCAACCGACUGCGCGUGGAAGACUGGAAGCCAACGUGCAGGGACAACGUGAACAUGCAAAACCAAAUAAGAAAACGGGCAUUGACGCUACUAUGAUUUGUCAUGUGCUAAUGAAAUUUGCAACCCAAAUUUAUCAAAGAAUGGAGAUCUCACCUCAUUCAUAAGGACGAGUUGGCGAUGCUGGGCGGCGAUGGCCAAGAUGAUGCGGAUCGGCAACUGGACGCCGGCACUAGGAUAGGGCAGUGAGCAACGGUCGAUGACUAGGGUGACAUCCACAGCAAGGCGGAGCAGGUACCAGGAAAUUAGCAAUCAGGGAAGCUUCCUCGAGAAUCUUGUUGGUUAGAAGUUCAUGCAUGGAUCGAGUCAUGUAAUAGUUAGUUUUGAUUAGCAUAUGUAUUACACUCUGCCAUUAGUUCUAUUGGUCCUAUAUUUCUGUCGGUUCA